ACUGUGCCAGCUGGUGGAUGGCUCGGCUCGGAUGCCGACGAAGGACGUGCCAAGCUGCGAUAAGCUCCAGGGAGCCGCAUGGAGGCGAAGAACUGGAGAUGUCCGAAUAGGAAUCCUCACAGCAAUUGCUUUGCGCAAUGGGGAACGCCCCGGAUUGAAACAUCUUAGUAGGGGCAGGAAGAGAAAGCGAAUGCGAUGUCGUUACUAACGGCGAGUGAACGCGACACAGCCCAAACUGAAGCUCUCACGAGCAAUGUGGUGUUCGGGCUGGUACCAAGUGACCGUUGACUACGAGAAGUCUCCUGGAACGGAGCGCGAAACAGGGCGACAGCCCCGUAUCGCCGUCGACAGUCGCGGACCAGUACCCAGAGUAUCGGGGGUUGGAUCUCCCUCGUGAACGUCCCAGGCAUCGACUGGGAAGGCUAAACACUCUCCGAGACCGAUAGCGAACAAGUAGUGCGAACGAACGCUGAAAAGCACCCCGAGAAGGGAGGUGCAACAGGGCCUGAAAUCAGUUGGCGAUGGAGCGACGGGGCACAAAAGGUCCCGAGAGAAACGACACACCCGCGAAGGUGCAGUAGGGAUCUCGGGAAGCCGGUGUUCCGUCGUACGUUUUGAAAAACGAACCAGGGAAUGUACUCGUCCGGCGAGCCUAACCCGAUUAUCGGGGAAGGCGCAGGGAAACCGAUACGGCCGCAGCAUUGCGAGGGCCACCGUGUUCAAGCGCGGGGAGUCGAGCGGGUACGACCCGAAACCAGGUGAUCUAUGCGCGGACAGGGUGAAGCGCACCGAAAGGUGCGUGGAGGCCCGUUAGGGUUGGUGUCCUACAAUACCCUCCCGUGAUCUGCGUAUAGGGGUGAAAGGCCCAUCGAACCUGGAAACAGCUGGUUCCGACCAAAACAUGUCGAAGCAUGACCUCCACCGAGGUAGUCCGUGCGGUAGAGCUACCGAUUGGAAGCGCCUCCUUCGAGAGAAGUAGGCCUUCCUGUCGAACUCCGAACGUACGGACGCUGUGGACGUGGGGAGUCCGGUGUCCUGGGGUAAGCCUGGGCACCAUGAGGGGAACAACCCAGAGCUGGGCUAAGGACCCAAAAUGUGGACUAAGUGCGAUUGGAAGGUUGUCUCGAGCCAUAGACAGCCGGGAGGUGAGCUUAGAAGCAGCUACCCUCUAAGAAAAGCGUAACAGCUUACCGGCCGAGGUUUGAGGCGCCCAAAAUGAUCGGGGCUCAAGUCCACUUCCGAGACCCAGCGGCGCGGGUGACACCGCGAUUCCGUAGGUCGGCGUUCUGUUCGGGUGGAAGCUCGGGUGAGAACUCGCGUGGACCGUACAGAAACGAAAAUCCUGGUCACAGUAGCAGCGAAACUCGGGUGCGAACCCCGAGGGUCUGAAGAGCAAGGGUUCCUCGGCACUGUUAAUCAGCCGAGGGUUAGUCGGUCCUAAGUCACACCGUAACUCGAACGUGACAACUGGGAAACUGGUUAAUAUUCCAGUACCAUCACGCAGUGAAACCCAACGCUUUGGGGUCGGUCAAGCCGGGCACUCGCCCGGUCGAAUCGUCAAAAUCCGUGGAAGCCGUAACGGCACGAAGCGGACGAACGGCGAGAUAGCGCAAGUUGGCUCAACCUAGAGCCCGUGAAACGGGAAGCGUGGUGUCCGUACCGAGAUCCGACACAGGUGCUCUGGCAGCGCAAGCCAAGACCUUCGGGACCAAUCGGCGUUAGGGAAUUCGGCAACUUAGUCCCGUACGUUCGCAAUAAGGGAUGCCUGCCCCCCACGGGGCAGGUCGCAGUGACUCGGACGCUCCGACUGUCUAGUAACAACACAGGUGACCGCAAAUCCGCAAGGACUCGUACGGUCACUGAAUCCUGCCCAGUGCGGGUAUCUGAACACCUCGUACAAGAGGACGAAGGACCCGUUAACGGCGGGGGUAACUAUGACCCUCUUAAGGUAGCGUAGUACCUUGCCGCUUCAGUAGCGGCUUGCAUGAAUGGAUCAACGAGAGCGUCGCUGUCCCAACGCUGAGCCCGGUGAACUGUACGUUCCAGUGCGGAGUCUGGAGACCCCCAAGGGGAAGCGAAGACCCUAUAGAGCUUUACUGCAGGCUGUCGCUGAGACAUGGUCGCUGAUGUGCAGAGUAGGUAGGAGUCGUUACCGAGGCCCGUGCGCCAGCACGGCGCCCAGACACACAUGAAACACUACCCGUCAGUGACUGUGACUCUCACUCCGGGAGGAGAACACCGGUAGCCGGGCAGUUUGACUGGGGCGGUACGCGCUUGAAAAGGAUAUCG
rnacentral:rRNA from 1 species